rnacentral:tRNA from 1 species
GCGGAUAUAGUCGAAUGUAAAAUUUCUCUUGCCAAGGAAGACGCGGGUUCGAUUCCCGCUAUCCGCC